AAUUGCCUCUAACCACAACCAAGAAAGGUGAUCAUCAUCCCACAGAAGAUAAACUACACCUCCUUAAAACUCCUCCUCAAAACACUACCACCCUCAGACUGUCUGCCCUUCCCAAAAUCUGAUUAUGUGCGCAAUGAUUCAUUCCAGGCACUCUGUGAAUUAGUUAUUUCCAACAUACAUAAAGGAAAAUCUGCAUCUGGAGAAAUAGUCCCUAAUGAGCCCCCCAACUCUAUAAUCUUUUAAAAAUUCUUAUAUAAGGCUGUAUUUGUGGCUAUUUAUAACUUUUAAACAAUGAUAUCAUAAAAAUUUCAGAGCCCAACAGAACACAAAGCCAAGGUCACUGAACAGUUGAUCCUGUUGAACCAGCUCUUCUAGACGUCUUGGAGGAGAGAAUGAACUUACCAGAUUCAUUUAAGGGAUCAUCAGCCCCCAGAACAGCUGAGAUUGCAGGACUACAAAAUCCAAGACAGGAGGUAAAAACAGUAUCAUCUAGGGAUCCAAACAUAUUGCAACAUUUACUAUCUUAGCAUCCCCAAGAGCUGAGCCUGGAAAGCAGCAAGUAUCCAGUGUCAGUUCUUUUGCAUUCCAUCCUGUUAUCUACCACAAGCACACUGCCUUCACUGGAAUACACGCCGCAGUUCUCACCAAGCUAGUCACCUGACAGCCAGACUCUAUUCUGCUGACACACGUUAUGUACUAAAAAGUAAAUUCUAGAAGAAUCUUUUAACUGCAAGUGAAAGUGAAUUAACUUAUCUCUACCUUAAAUAAAAUAUUAUGAUUGAAUGCUAUGGGG
rnacentral:lncRNA from 1 species